rnacentral:lncRNA from 1 species
UAGUGUACACAAUCCCAUAUGUCUGCUUCGAAGACCUGUACGCUGAAUUCAUGGAAUUGCUCUUCAAUUCUAUUGGCUGGCCGACUCAAUGAAGGAUUUGAGCAUUUAUGGCUCUCUCGAAGUGAGGGGGAAGGAGAUAGGAGUUCAUAGUGAACUCGGACAUAUUUCACAAGCAAAACGAUAAAUAAGUAACAAAAUUAGCAUCUUCGGGAAGGAAAUGAAGUGAUAAGAUAAAAUAAAUAGAUAAGUAAAAUAACAUGCCAGUCAAUCAUUAACAACACAACGCCUAAACAAUAAUUUAAAAGGAAGACUGAUGAAGACUUGUUCAUUUUUACGUAUCAUGAAUGAGGAGCAGUGAUCAAGUACCAAGCAUUAGAACAAAGGUCAUAUGAGAUGUAAACUAAUAAGCUCUUAAUAAAGAUUAUUACUUAUUACAAGAUUAAAAUAACUACUAUGCAGGUUCAAAACAGAGAAGAAAGAAAUUUUAAUUAUAUAUAUAAUAUAAAAGAGAUAGUGAGCAAAUGUGGCAUCUACUAAAUGUGACUAUUGAAUGUUUAUCUCAAAGCACAAGAAUUGUUAGCUAAGCAAGCCUACAAUCAGUAGUUUAAGUAAAAGGAAAGAAACAUUCAAGUCACCUUUUGAACUUUUAAAAACAAUAUUAUAAACAAGUUAAGGUAGGUAGGAUUUAGUCAAAAUAUUAUUUUUUACAUAAGUGAGCUUUCUAAACAAAUAUAACAAUAAAAAAAAAAUUAGUCAAUGACUCAAAUUUUGCACAAGGGUAUAGCCUAAUACCGACAUUAUUUGGACAACUUUCUUAUUACUGAUUCUAACAUUUACGACACCGAAUUAAGCUAUGUAGAGAAGAAAAAAGGCCGGUGAUCACCAAAGCAAGUAAAAAUAUAUAGCAUCCUUAGCAACUGUUGAGACAUGCUGAAAUUAAAGAAGAAUAAAAGCCAAAAGUAUGGAUGUACAUUCACAGUUUUAUGUAUUCCCAAACUUAUCGAAAUUUGUUAAAAAUAUACAUGAGGCUCACGGAGAUAUCAAAUAGCAAAGUGGGCUGAUCCAUUUAUCCUAAAUGAGUAAACAUACAAAAUGAAUGAACAAAUACGGACUAUGACAUAUUUUACGCAUCCCGUAACCAAGAAAAAGUAGCACGAACUUACUUAAGGCAUGUCAAACUAAUCAAGAUCAAAAUUGUAUACCAUUUGGAACCAAACAACAAAAACAAUUCCCAUAAUUCUGGAAAAAUAAAAAAAAACACAUUCAAACUAGACCUGGACAACAUCUAAAUAAUUAGAGACAAAAUCAGAUAAACAAAAAUGAAAGAAUUAAUCAUACCACAAGACAACCAUAACAAAGUUUAAGCUAUACUAAUCCGGACAAGACUAUUGAUCUAAACUCAAAAAUAAGUGCAGGAAGAGCUAGAUCCUACAAGACUGGUCUAAUGUAAUUUAUGAGGGUCUAUAACAGUGAAUAAAAAAUAAAGAGAAGACAACCAAGACCACAAAUGACCAAUAGAGAAGCAGAACGAGUCAAAAAUUAAGCUACAAAGGGAAUAAUUUAAAGACUCAUAUUUAAACUAACACAUGCUUCCAUACAUGAGUAAUUUAAUCAAAAUAAGUUAGAACAAAAUGAAACCAAAGAAACUCCGCAGCAACAAGUUUAUCACACAACAUUUAAAACAUAAACAAAGCGCGGAAGAGGGAAGAGAUAUUACCUUUUCCGGGCAGCGAAACUGAGACAAGAACGAGCUUGGAGCGACUUCAACACAACCUUGAACUCGAGCACCAGACCAAAGAAAAGAUCGAGUC